CAUCACUUAGAAAACAGGUUGUUUUUCUAGGAUGACCUGAAGAGAUUUAUUGACUUCAUGGAAGUUGGAGGAGAGUGUUUAACUUCAUUCAAAAUGGCGGCUGCUGGUUGUUGCUACCAAUAAUGAGGACUCAGAGCCCUAAGUUCAAAGACUUUCUCCCCUGCAUGUUUCUUGGGCACCAGGCUUCCUGUGGUGGUUGCUGGUGGCUGUAGGGAGAGCUGUGCAGGUCCCUGCUUUAUUGGAAGUCUCACACCGGCUGACAGCAAGGCCAGGAAAGGGACAUCCACGCAGAAGAUGUGAGAGCCCAGGUUCUGGAGGCCGGGAAGUCCAAGAUCAAGGUGGCAGCAGAUGUGUUAUCCGGACAUGCUGAAUUCCAGCAGCCACGUUAAGGAUACGCCGGGAUGAGCCUGAGAACAAGCUGGGGAUGACAGAGCAGAAAAGUGGACAGAACCUGGGUCCUUGAGACACAUCUUUGAGCCAUUGAAUUAAUCACCUCUGGAACCUCCUUACUUCUAAAAUUUUAAUGAGAGAACUUCUUCAUUCCAAAAGGAAAUGCAGUAGCCAUUAAAAAAUAUCUGCUCAUUCCUCCUUUCCUGCAGCUCCUUUCAGUCUCUAUGAAUUUGACUA